UAAGUAGUAUGGGGAUCUGCCCGAUAGAGGGGGAUAACUACUGGAAACGGUGGCUAAUACCGCAUAAUGUCUACGGACCAAAGCAGGGGCUCUUCGGACCUUGCACUAUCGGAUGAACCCAUAUGGGAUUAGCUAGUAGGUGGGGUAAAGGCUCACCUAGGCGACGAUCUCUAGCUGGUCUGAGAGGAUGAUCAGCCACACUGGGACUGAGACACGGCCCAG
rnacentral:rRNA from 1 species